rnacentral:lncRNA from 1 species
CACCGACUCUCUUUUCGGACUCAGUCCGCCUGCACCCGGGUGAAAUAAACAGCCAUGUUGCUCACACAAAGCCUGUUUGGUGGUCUCUUCACACGGACGUGCAUGAAAUUUGGUGCCGUGACUCGGAUCGGGGGACCUCCCUUGGGAGAUCAAUCCCCUGUCCUCCUGUUCUUUGCUCCACGAGAAAGAUCCACCUACGACCUCAGGUCCUCAGACUGACCAGCCCAAGGAACAUCUCACCAAUUUUAAAUCAGCCACUCCCAGAGCCCCUGGAACUCUGGCCCAAGGCUGACUGACUCCUUCCCAGAUCUUCUCGGCUUAGCGGCUGAAGACUGACACUGCUUGAUCGCCUCGGAAGCCCCCUAGACCAUCACAGACGCCGAGCUUCCGGUAACUCUCACAGUGGAAGGCAGGAAUGUCAGGCCUCUGAGCCCAAGCCAAGCCAUGGCAUCCCCUGUGAUUUGCACAUGUACGCCCAGAUGGCCUGAAGUAACUGAAGAAUCACAAAAGAAGUGAAUAUGCCCUGCCCCACCUUAACUGAUGACAUUCCACCACAAAAGAAGUGUAAAUGGCCAGUCCUUGCCUUAAGUGAUGACAUUACCUUGUGAAAGUCCUUUUCCUGGCUCAUCCUGGCUCAAAAAGCACCCCCACUGAGCACCUUGCGACCCCCACUGCUGCCUGCCAGAGAACAACCCCCCUUUGACUGUAAUUUUCCUUUACCUACCCAAAUCCUAUAAAACGGCCCCACCCCUAUCUCCCUUCACUGACUCUCUUUUCGGACUCAGUCCGCCUGCACCCGGGUGAAAUAAACAGCCAUGUUGCUCACACAAA